rnacentral:tRNA from 1 species
GCCUGGUUAGCUCAGUNGGUAGAGUAUCAGACUUUUAAUUUGAGAGUCAAGGGUUCGAGUCCCUUAUCGGGCG